UUUAUCUCUGGUACCAGGCAGGCAGGCAACUCCACUCCUGAGCACUUCAGGGUUCACAUCCUUGACUAUGGAAGGUGCAGACCGGCCGCCCCAAGCAGCCCCAGGAGCUGGGGAUCUGGGGGGACUAACAGCUGUUGAGGUUUCCUCCAGGGCACAGGCUUUACCUGCUGGCUUCAAUACAUCUGCACCAGAUACUUCUUUUACCACCUCUGCCCCGUCCGAUACCAUGCCUUUAGGAGAUGACGCUUCUGGAACUGCCUCUGGGUGGGAAUGCAAAGCAGUGGGCUCUAUGUUCCCCUCAGCAGGUCCUGAGGACAGUGGUCCAACCUCCAGCUCCUCUUGUAUGGAUUCCAGUGUUUUUAAGGCUACAGCCUUUGUCCUGUCCACAUCAGAAAAACUGUCUUGGUUCUCCUCCCCUCCCUGCGAGUCCUGUGCUGAAACACACUCUGGGCUCAGCACAAAGUUCAUUUCACUUCCAUUGCCUUGGUUUUCUGUCCAUCCUCGUGGAUCCCCA
rnacentral:lncRNA from 1 species